AACCCUGAUCCAGCCAUGCCGCGUGUGUGAAGAAGGCCUUUUGGUUGUAAAGCACUUUAAGCGAGGAGGAGGCUCUCUUGGUUAAUACCUGAGAAGAGUGGACGUUACUCGCAGAAUAAGCACCGGCUAACUCUGUGCCAGCAGCCGCGGUAAUACAGAGGGUGCGAGCGUUAAUCGGAUUUACUGGGCGUAAAGCGCGCGUAGGUGGUUAAUUAAGUCAAAUGUGAAAUCCCCGAGCUUAACUUGGGAAUUGCAUUCGAUACUGGUUAGCUAGAGUAUGGGAGAGGAUGGUAGAAUUCCAGGUGUAGCGGUGAAAUGCGUAGAGAUCUGGAGGAAUACCGAUGGCGAAGGCAGCCAUCUGGCCUAAUACUGACACUGAGGUGCGAAAGCAUGGGGAGCAAACAGGAUUAGAUACCCUGGUAGUCCAUGCCGUAAACGAUGUCUACUAGCCGUUGGGGGAUUUGAUCCUUUAGUGGCGCAGCUAACGCGAUAAGUAGACCGCCUGGGGAGUACGGUCGCAAGACUAAAACUCAAAUGAAUUGACGGGGGCCCGCACAAGCGGUGGAGCAUGUGGUUUAAUUCGAUGCAACGCGAAGAACCUUACCUGGCCUUGACAUAGUAGAGACUUUCCAGAGAUGGAUUGGUGCCUUCGGGAAUCUACAUACAGGUGCUGCAUGGCUGUCGUCAGCUCGUGUCGUGAGAUGUUGGGUUAAGUCCCGCAACGAGCGCAACCCUUUUCCUUACUUGCCAGCAUUUCGGAUGGGAACUUUAAGGAUACUGCCAGUGACAAACUGGAGGAAGGCGGGGACGACGUCAAGUCAUCAUGGCCCUUACGGCCAGGGCUACACACGUGCUACAAUGGUCGGUACAAAGGGUUGCUACCUCGCGAGAGGAUGCUAAUCUCAAAAAGCCGAUCGUAGUCCGGAUCGCAGUCUGCAACUCGACUGCGUGAAGUCGGAAUCGCUAGUAAUCGCGGAUCAGAAUGCCGCGGUGAAUACGUUCCCGGGCCUUGUACACACCGCCCGUCACACCAUGGGAGUUUGUUGCACCAGAAGUAGGUAGUCUAACCGCAAGGAGGACGCUUACCACGGUGUGGCCGAUGACUGGGGUGAAGUCGUAACAAGGUAGCCGUAGGGGAACCUGCGGCUGGAUCACCUCCUUAACGAA
rnacentral:rRNA from 1 species